rnacentral:rRNA from 1 species
AAUAGAUACCCGGGUAGUCCACGCCGUAAACGAUGGAUACUAGCUGUUCGUCCGCCUCGGCGGAUGAGUGGCUAAGGGAAAGUGAUAAGUAUCCCACCUGGGGAGUACGAACGCAAGUUUGAAACUCAAAGGAAUUGACGGGGGCCCGCACAAGCGGUGGAGCAUGUGGUUUAAUUCGAUGAUACGCGAGGAACCUUACCAAGGCUUAAAUGUAGAUUGACAGGACUGGAAACAGUUUUUUCUUCGGACAAUUUACAAGGUGCUGCAUGGUUGUCGUCAGCUCGUGCCGUGAGGUGUCAGGUUAAGUCCUAUAACGAGCGCAACCCCUGUUGUUAGUUGCCAGCGAGUGAUGUCGGGAACUCUAACAAGACUGCCAGUGUAAACUGUGAGGAAGGUGGGGAUGACGUCAAAUCAUCACGGCCCUUACGCCUUGGGCUACACACGUGCUACAAUGGCCGGUACAGAGAGCAGCCACUGCGCGAGCAGGAGCGAAUCUAUAAAACCGGUCACAGUUCGGAUCGGAGUCUGCAACUCG